AGAAACCAUGUUAAAUCUUGAACCCCCGUGGCCAAUGCUACUCGAACCCAGGUGACAUGACUUACCUCCCUUUACCACUGGACCAAAGCAACUUAGUUUUUUCCCGUGAAUUUUUUUUUUUUUCUUAAAGUAUUUCGUAUAUGAAACCCAUUUGCCUAUGAUGACACAUUGACAUGAGUCAUUUUUUGGAGUUAUACGAGUUUUGAGAUCCAUAUGUAAGAUAUUUAGAGGUAGGAUUUCUAAAGCUAUAUGUGUUCUGAACUAUAUGGUAUGAACUCGCAAUCCGACAG
rnacentral:lncRNA from 1 species